rnacentral:rRNA from 1 species
AGAACGAACGCUGGCGGCAGGCUUAACACAUGCAAGUCGAGCGCCCCGCAAGGGGAGCGGCAGACGGGUGAGUAACGCGUGGGAACAUACCCUCCGGUUCGGAAUAGCUCAGGGAAACUUGGAUUAAUACCGGAUACGGCCUAGCGGCGAAAGAUUCAUCGCCGGAGGAUUGGCCCGCGUCUGAUUAGCUAGUUGGUGGGGUAAUGGCCCACCAAGGCGACGAUCAGUAGCUGGUCUGAGAGGAUGAUCAGCCACAUUGGGACUGAGACACGGCCCAAACUCCUACGGGAGGCAGCAGUGGGGAAUAUUGGACAAUGGGCGCAAGCCUGAUCCGGCCAUGCCGCGUGAGUGAUGAAGGCCCUAGGGUUGUAAAGCUCUUUUGUGCGGGAAGAUAAUGACGGUACCGCAAGAAUAAGCCCCGGCUAACUUCGCGCCAGCAGCCGC